AUCCCUGUUUGCUUCACUUUGCAUGUGUGGCAGGAUGAAUGUUAUCCCUCGUUCCAACCCACUUUCAGCCUGGCCCAUUAGGGGGCGCUGGUAUAAAUAGUGGCCAUUUGAGUGUCUCUGCAUCGCUUGCCUGUGAUCUCCUUUUUGGUCACCUGACUUCCUCGGUGUGGUAGAGAUCGUUUGUGGGUUACGCCUCUAAAGUCUCCAUCGCGGCUGGUCGUAGCUAUAGAAGCCUCCUCUGAGCUAUUCGGCUUACAUUCUAUGACACGGCUUACUUGGAAGUGUGGGCCUUAGUUUUGCGCCAAGCUACGUGAACUGAAGUGCUGCUGUUUUGCCUUGCUGUGCUUUUAUCGUCGGUUCCCGUUGUGAGAUUUCUUUCCCUGCUGCUGUCAGCUUUUACAGAGGACGUCGGCGUGGACAACGGCCAUAUGCAUGCCGGUUAUCGGAGUCAGCUGGCGUGCAUAUUGAUUGACUGUUAACUUGUCGUUGUGUGACGGCAAGUUGGAGCAGUACGGCGAUUCCGUUUGCUCCAGAUUUUAGAGUUUUAUCCAGAUUGUAUGUUGUUUUAUUGCUUUUGAUUUGUAGUUUGGAUUUUUGUUACACCACUGGUGGGAGGCCCUUUUUCUAGCUGUAGAUCACCAGUGUGGUCUUGCAGUUGGGUUAUCCCCCGGUGCUACACAUUAGUUUGUUGUAAUAUAUUAAAAUUUUCUUUGUUUCUUUUAUUCAGUGCGGAGUGCCGACGUGGAGGAGACUAGGGUGCCUUGGUGGUGGGAUCCCUUGAGUGUACACACCUGCCUUGUUUAGUUUAUUAGUGUGAGUGUGUGUGAUAGUGUGCUGCACUUGUGUUUUGGGUGUGUUUUCUUUCUUUAGUUUGUGUGUGGCAUCCCUGCCCCUCCACUGGUAAGCCUCAGCUCUGAAUACCUUUUUAAGCAUAUUUGUACUUGAAUAUUUAUGAUUGUGCUUUUAUAUGGUGUUUUAAAUAAUUAUCAAUAAAUUGUCAAUUUGUUUAUUAUUGAA